rnacentral:misc_RNA from 1 species
CCAACCCAGUAUCCCUGUGCGUUGUUUGCCGUUGUCGUUCGCUUGCUUUCUUUUGUGCCGUUAUUAUUCGGUUGUUGUUCUCCGCUACAUCAUGAAGCUCUAUGGCCUGCUGAUUCUAAAGCCCCAUCCGCCGGGUGUCGAGAAGGACCCGGUCAUUUGCUGUAGCGCUGUCGACGUCAGCUCGUUCGGCUUCUUCCAGCGCAGUUCUGCCCGCGAAUUCAUUGUGUUUCUCUCCCGAACAGUGGCUAAGCGGGUGGCUCUCGGCGCCAAGACGCAGAUCACAGAAAACGGCAAUGUUGUGUAUGCGCAUGCGACGCUGGACGGUCUCGUGGCAAUCGCAGUGAGCGACAUCGAGUACAACGCGCGUGUCGCCUUCACGCUCUUGACGGAGUUGAUGCUGCAGUUCCAGCAGACGUUCCGCGGUAAGUACGAGUCCGUGGGGGGCAAGGCGGAUGAGUUUCUGCACUGGCCCCACAUCAACGAGACACUGGAGAAGUAUCAGAAGCCGGAGGAGGUAGACAAGAUCUUGCGCAUCAAGCGUGACAUCGAGGACACAAAGGUGAUCAUGUACAACGCGAUUGACCAAAUCAUCGAACGGGGACAGAAAAUCGACGACUUGGUGGCGCAGAGCGAGGAUCUUGGCAUGGCUAGCAAGACAUUUUACACGCAAGCAAAGCAGACAAACUCGGGGUGCUGCGCAGUCAUGUGAUGUGGAAAUGGAGGGGCAAUCGCUACUUGGCGAGGAAGCACUGUAGAGUGAAGGAGCGUAGGUGGGACACGCAGCGUACCUUGCCUGUGUGCAAAACGGCAAGUGGUAUGCCUGUGCGCGGGAAAACAUCUUUGCUUUCUCUGGUUCUCUUUUUUUUUUGGAGGGAGCCAGACGUUGCCGUGGCCGCAGUGGCUGCCACGCGUUCUACGUGAAUUCGUUGCCUUUUCCUCGUUCUUUUUCUCCCCCUCCUCUUUACUUCAGCACUUUGCUUUUUUUCUUCUCCAUCCGUGUCUGUGUUGUCUGCUGAUGUGUCGCUGAUCCGGGAAUCAUGUACGUGUGCGCAUCUCUCUCUCUGUGCUUCGUUUCCUCUCAGCUUGUGCCGUUUGAUGACCCUUUUCAUCGACCUGACAUACACGCAGAGGCGCCUGGAGGGCUCCCUGUUCGCCCCCUCCUCCUCCUCCCUCCCUCCCGUCAGCUUCUCCCCAAAUGAGACUUGGAUGGUGUUGGGCAGCGUUUUCCCGGCCAAAGUCCCCGCUCACGCACUCACCAACACGCGCGAGUGGUUGCACCUGGAGAGGGGGACGGUGAUGUGCUUUCGCGCUUCCCUUUGUGCAUCUGUGUCACCUCGCGAUCGUGCGCUUCGCUGAAUGACGAUAGUGCCUGCUCGGAUGUGGAUGGACAUCGGCACUGCAGGGCCGGCGUGUACCCUCGCUUACCCCUCGCGUGGCUCGCAGGGAAAAAGGGGGGGGGAGCAGUGCGCGGCUCAACUGCGCAGGGGUAGAAAAAAAAAGGAGCAUGAAGUUGGGGUGCAGGCGAUAGACUCUUGCAGCCCGUUUAUUCCCGUGUCCGCCAUCCCCCUCCCCCUUUUCCCCGCCCGUCACACUCGAUGCGCAUUACCCUUAUUGUUGUACUUCUUUGGUUGCUAUCCUAUCAGCUAUGGAUGCUCUGUG